CAUUUCUCUUAGAUAAUACUGAUAGAAUGGAUGAUAAAUGGUACAGAGCAACUUCUGUUACGCAAAUUGAUAUGACAAUUAAUUCAUCUAUAUAUUAUCACCUUGUUGUAAAAAUCUACAAUUUCCAACUAAAAGAAAUAAGAACAAACGGCAUUUCACUGCGAAAUGAUUGUAUAAAACAGUUGCUGUUAGCCGACUGAUUCUCUCUGGUUGUAGUUUUAUCCGCAUUGCCAUGCCAGCUUCAGUACUCGAACUUGAUAUUGAAUCCCCUUCCUUUAAAAGUCACUUUUACCAAUAAGCCAUAACCAAUCAAGAGAUACACCUGCAAAUAUGCCGCCUAAAAGAAAUAACACUAGCAAAUUACCCAAUGCAUUUUGCUCCGGACCCUGAAAAUGAACACCCUUUAUAUUAAUUUUUAUGAAUAGAUGAAUUCAUAUGGAUUAAUUCACAGGUUAACACACCGCACACCUUGUAGCCUUUUGGAGCUACUGUCAUGACACAUACGGUUAGGUAACCAUUCGAUAAUCCCAAGAAAGAUACGAGCAAUAUCAUCCACCCCUGAUCACCGUAUUUUGCAGUGAAAUAAAAUGCAGGAAUGAGUAAGAAACGGGAUAAUNNNNNNNNNNNNNNNNNNNNNNNNNNNNNNNNNNNNNNNNNNNNNNNNNNNNNNNNNNNNNNNNNNNNNNNNNNNNNNNNNNNNNNNNNNNNNNNNNNNNGCAUUUUCAAAGUUUCUUUAAAACCUGCACGCAUUUCAUGCAUUAAUAUCAUUAAAUUUUCUUAUUGGUUGUUAUAUGCAAUAUUUGUUUGUUCCAAAAUUGACUACUAGUACUACUUAUUCCGUUAGCAUCCAUUUAGAAAGUCUAGUGUAUGCAAGAUGAAGGAAAAUAAAAAGAGCUGCACAUUACAUUUUAAUGCAGGAGUUUGUCCAUGGUCUGGAACAGAAUUGGCCAGUCCAACAAAAAUGAAUUAUAAAUAAUGCAAAGUUUUGAUCUCAAAUUGUUGCAGCAACAAAAUUUGAUCUACUUGGAGUCCUUAUUCUUGUGGUGUAGAGCAGAAUUGGUGCAUGUUAUAUGGGCAAGUUUAACUGAUCCUUGUAACGAUAGGCCCAAAAAGCUGAUGGACAUGGCCCCUUGAUCGGAGGUCUGUUUACUUUGCUGUAGCUUAGGCCUUAGAUGUAUGGUUUUCACAUGUUACCUCCCUUUUUCUGAUUUGUAACUUAUUUUUAUUAGCCAAAUGGUGUUCUGCUUCUAAAAAUUUCGACUCUUUUUUUUGGGGUGGAGGUGGAACCCUUUAGAGUAGGAUAAAAAGCCAGUCAUCCAAUAUAUGCUACUCUGAUACACCACAGACCAAACAAAUUUAUCAGCAGCUCUAUUCACUUCCCUUCCCUACAUACAUGCGCGGCAGUACUGUUUUUUGAGCGCAGUUAUGAUUGAAUUUAUAUGCCAACUUUUGCACAUUUAACAUCUCUUUUUUGUGAGAUAAUUUUAAUUAGUCACUUAAAAGUAUCCCUCAAGCCAUAUAUCAGUACAUCCAUUUUAGCUCUCCACGUUCAGCAACUGAACAAUUGGUUAUUCCAAUGGAUUUCUGCAUUUCCAAGUUAAAAAUAUAUCAGCCUUGUCAUUCAUUAGGACACCUAUGGUUGCCUCUCCUGCAGUUCCUAAAUAAAAGUAGAACUGAGCUUUGUGUUAAUCUUUGACAUCAAUGUUUUCUCUGGAGAAAAUUCAUUCUUAGUUGUUGAUGAUUUACCUAAAUUUUCUUAUUAACUAAAAUUAGGUAGUUAAUCAAAGAAUUGAUAAGCCAGGGCUGAUUGUGGAGGACAAGUUGCCUCUGCAUCAAGUUUUACUCUCUCUCUCUCUCUCUCUCUCUCUCUCUCUCUCUCUCUAUAUAUAUAUAUAUAUAUAUAUAUAUAUAUAUAUAUAUACCAUUAUAAUGAGUACCAUUUUCUUAAUUUGUUAAGAAGUUGGUAUUUUUUUAACAUUUCAUUAUAUUGCACAUAAUGAGCUAUAUAUGCAUUUCUCUUAGAUAAUACUGAUAGAAUGGAUGAUAAAUGGUACAGAGCAACUUCUGUUACGCAAAUUGAUAUGACAAUUAAUUCAUCUAUAUAUUAUCACCUUGUUGUAAAAAUCUACAAUUUCCAACUAAAAGAAAUAAGAACAAACGGCAUUUCACUGCGAAAUGAUUGUAUAAAACAGUUGCUGUUAGCCGACUGAUUCUCUCUGGUUGUAGUUUUAUCCGCAUUGCCAUGCCAGCUUCAGUACUCGAACUUGAUAUUGAAUCCCCUUCCUUUAAAAGUCACUUUUACCAAUAAGCCAUAACCAAUCAAGAGAUACACCUGCAAAUAUGCCGCCUAAAAGAAAUAACACUAGCAAAUUACCCAAUGCAUUUUGCUCCGGACCCUGAAAAUGAACACCCUUUAUAUUAAUUUUUAUGAAUAGAUGAAUUCAUAUGGAUUAAUUCACAGGUUAACACACCGCACACCUUGUAGCCUUUUGGAGCUACUGUCAUGACACAUACGGUUAGGUAACCAUUCGAUAAUCCCAAGAAAGAUACGAGCAAUAUCAUCCACCCCUGAUCACCGUAUUUUGCAGUGAAAUAAAAUGCAGGAAUGAGUAAG
rnacentral:lncRNA from 1 species